AAACUCCAUGAGAUGUUGCCUAAAAUAGCCCUUUUCAGAAGUCAGUGCUAUCCCACAGCUUGAAAGGGUUCAUGAUGUGCAAGCCCACGACGUGUCAGGUUUUUCUUGUUCGGCUAUUUGUAGCUUUCUUCCUGCACUUUGCACUUCCAUCUGCUACUGCUGGGUUGGCUGCCAAAGACUACUUCUGCAUCUCUACAGCCAAAAGACCUGCUCCUGGGAGUAGCCACAGCAGACGGAUGCCACCAGGCCCUGCAGAAGGCUGUAAGAGGAACCUGAACUGGUGGGGAGGAGAGGAGCAACGAGCUCCCUUGCAAAGGGGAAUGAAAGACCACAAAGUUUUCAUCCCUUAGAGAACACCACACCACCAGUUAAGUGUGAUUGGUGAGAAAGGCAGAUCUGGAGAAAUCCCAGAGGAGCUCAGUCAGAAACCCAGUACUAUUUUAAGACCACAUUUGAUGUGUCAGAGCCCAGGUAACAGGCACUGUUCUUAUGGAGAUGAGGCUGUGUGCUGGUGACUAAGCCCACCAGGUGUGAGGCUAAAUCAGACACUGCUCAGGGCUGGUGUCCCAUUUAAUUACCAUCUUGAAGAACAGGUUGGGCCCUUUUCCAAGAAACCUGGUGGACAGGAAACGGGAGAUCUGGGUCCUGCUCCCAGCUCAGCCACUGGACUAGGAGGUGAAUGUGGGCAGCCCUUCUCCCCUCUGCAAAGGGACUUGGUUAUUUCGGUCAGCUCUUUGGCACAGGAAAUUUUAGUGCUGCGUGUGUUUGUUCAGCAUCCAUCACCAGGCUCUGAUAAUGUUUGAACUGCUUUUUCUGCAAUGGUAAAGUCCUCCUAAAACACCUUGGAAGUAAGUUGCUCUGAGAGCAGCAUCCAAUUACAGGAAAAAGAGGGAUGACAUCUGCCAUCGAUUCUCUCAGAGGAGGAUGGCAGGAGGAUGGCACCUACUGUCAUCUCCCAGGAUGCGAGGGGAGAUGAUCUCCCUUUCUCCCAGAGCUGCUGUUUCUGCUGCAAGGCAUGGGCUGACCCUGCUGUCAGCUCCAGCACUGCACAGGAGGAAGGGACAUAUUCUAAUGGCUAGGCGGGAGUUGCCAAGGUUUCUUGGUGCUGAGCUGCCUGCCCUUCCCAGCAGGCUCGGCUUGUCGCCUUAGAUUCACUGUGAUGUCACUCAUGUAACUGAAGUGGCUCAAUUCCCCCCCAGUUCGCGGGGCUGGGAGGACAGAGCUUGCUGAUGAAGCCAGCAUGUCUGGUAGCAGGAAGGACAGCCAGCAAUAAACCAAGGGUAUCUUUGCUCAGCACCAUUUCUGAAGGGCACAGCUUGGAUGCAUGCACAGACCAAGCCAGCUGAGGAUCUUUUGCACAAGAAAACUUCAUUUUCCUCUGGCACAUCAGGACCACAUACACAAAGAGGGGACACAGACCUGAGGAUGUUCCUCUGAGCAAGCUCCAGCAGCACCCCUCUGCUUGGAGAGCUGGUACCUGGCAAGGGGCAAAGAAGAUGUACCGGCAUACCUUCCCAAGAGGGUUUCAAGGCCCCAUGCUUGGCUGGCCCUUGUUUCCUGUCUGUCUGUCUCCCCUUACCUUGUCUGCUGCACACUGGCAUUGUGGUGACUCAUUCAUGCCUGCUGGCUCUCUGCAGUAAUUACCAGCGGAGCUUUCUGUCGUCACAGCUCUUAAGCCUCUUUUCAAAGGACGCUGAUUUUGUGAUCUGUUUGGGAAGAUGCGCACUCCUGCCCGUGGUGACAGGUUUGAGGAACCCACGGCUGGGACUGGUUUAAUCCACUGAGCUGAGCAGCUGCACGUGUGUGCGUGUUUUGUGUGUGCAAAAUCAUUUUAAUGAUUCACAGCGGAAGGGCAAGUGGGAGAGGAAGGGGGGGUGACAAGUGGGGCAUGUUCCUGCAGUGCAGAGAUAAUUGGCCCUGCAGUGGUAAUGCCAAGCUGGCUGUCAGCCUCUAACAAAGUGUGCGAGAGAUGAAGUGACACCCUGACAGGUCCCGCCGACGUCCGGGCCUGCCCUGCCUCUGCCAAACAAAUGAUUACAGCCUUUCCGCUGACAUUCAGGGAACUAAAUUGGAGGUAAUGACUCUCCUGGGGGGCUUGGAAUAGGGAUGGCGAGAGGGAGCCUCAUAACUUUGCACCUCACCUGGGACAUCCUUUCUUUUCUGCACUCUUCCCAAUGAGGACACAAGCAUUUCCCAGGAGAGCACACCAAAGUGCUGAAGUUCUGCCUUCCCUGCUCUCUUUCCCCAUUUCAGGUCCAUAUCUAUCCCCCCACAUCAGUGCUGACCACCCAUACAAACCUGGGCACCGAAUGGGGUAGGAGUGAAGACCCCACAACAUCACCUGGGUUUGACUUCACCCCAUCUUUGGGUUUCCUUUUCUUCCUAUGCUACAGCUCUAGCUCCCUUUCACAUUCUGCUCACCUGAUCUUCAAGAACUUGCAACUUUCCCUCUUACACAGAAGCAAGGGCCCCAAGUUAGGUAUUCACCAAAGGGACAACAAAACAGUGAUAUGUCACUUAUCUUAUUAAGAGCACGAUGUCACUCCUGCUGCAGCAGCUUGGUCUUCAAGUCAUCUUCAGGUCUCCUUAAAGCUGAAUCUUCUAUCACAAGUGGUACACUGCCAUACAAGAACAAAUGACAAUUUCUGAAGGUAUCUACCAGACUGCAUUCGUGCUGAAAUGACUUAGUGCUGCUGGAGUGUUGUGCUCCUGAUGGCAGUGUGCUCAAGUGUAAAUCCGGGUGGGUUGUUGUGCACUUCUGGGGGCUCCCAUUUUGCAGAAAAGCCACACUUUAAAAUCGUUAUCACAUUGAAUGGCUCAUGUCUUAAAUUUGCAUUGUAAUGGCCAUACAAGAAAUUGCAUUUGCUGUGGCUGGAAGAAAGAAAGCCAGAGGGAGAGAAAAACUUGAAACUUGUUGGCUGGAAAGAGUAGAAGUGCAGACAGCUGCUCCACCUCCUCAUGAUAUUCAAGUUUGUCAUAUCUAAAUAAAUAUGCUUGGAAAAUGUCCAUCACAAGGGAAAACAGUCAUCUCAAGGGUACUGCUGAAAGCAUGUGUCAAAGGUAACACUAUGGGCAUGUAAAUUGAUUCAGAGCACUUAAUUGGCACUGUUUUCUUUAGUACGCUGAUGUCAUUCCAGAACAAUCCCAACCCCCGGCACGCUAACAGCAGGUCAUAUUCUGAGCCCAUUUACUUCACAAGGUUGUUUCCUUUGACUCCAAUGGAUUAACCACUUCUCUACUGCAGUAGAGAGGGGUCGGAUCUAGAUCUCUUCCACUUAUAUUGAAUAUAAUUGAUCUUUGUAUUAGUUAAAAAAAAAAAAAAAAGGAAAGAAAACACAAAAAACUUCUAAAUAAAAGAUAAUGGAAAAUACAUUUUCACUACUGUAACCUUCCCAAGCACACUACAGAGCUUACUCAGCCAGAUGCUCUACACAUACUGACAGAGCAAACUUCACGAUUUAUAGGCAAAGCACCCCAAUGAGGGAACAGUUUUCACUCCCAAAUGAAUCAGAGAGCUAUUUUACACCCCCAAAACACAGCCUUUCAGUCCCUGAUUGGGAGAAACAAGCUCAGUUGCCUUCAUGGAUAAUCCCUCAUCUUUUCUAAUCCUUCCUGCAGAUCUCUUAACUCAAUGACUAGCAGCAUUUAGAAAAGCUUUCUUUUUCUUUAGAUGAUUGCCCUGUUUAGAUACUACUGAUUCAUAGUCUGAUAAGGUUCCUGAGACAAAAGCCUGCCUUGCUUUCCUCCCACCCCAAAGAAAGUCCAUUAUACGGUGACCACUCGCCUCUCAGUUCUCCCAGUUCUUACCCCAGCCUGUUUUAGCAGCUCAUUAUCAGAGAUCUCAAACUCAUCAGAUCUUUCUUGACUCCAUUAACUCCUUGUAUGCCAAAUUUACUGCAGUCACUACAAGGAAUUUUCCCCUCUCAAUUUCCAUAAUAAACCUAAUUCAAACUAUGUUUUCUUUGCAGUUUGGACAGCAAUGUAUUUAUAGACUGUAUGCAUAUGUAUCUUUUUUCAUGUGAUCAGUCCUUAAGUGAAGUCCUUCCGCAAAGUGUCCACCACAGCAAGUUCCCUCCCCAUGGGCACCACGUGGAAGACUUGAAGCUGUGACACCUGCUAAGACCCAUAGCCAAGUCCCAAACUGCCUCUUUUCAGGAAUCAGCAACAGUUUGUGAUAAGAAAUUCCACCUUGCACAAAAACUUCAGCUAAAUUACAUAUUUCAUUGAAAAGCCAGGGAUUAAGCCAUCUGCCUGCUUUGAAUGACUAGCAGUUUUUGCCCAGUUGCACCGACCUCUUCAAGCAUCUUGAAGUUCCUUUUGUAAAGAGAAUUGCAGGUGGCCCAUGAAGGACUUUGGACAAAAGUUCCUUCAUCAUCAUGUACAUAUCUCAUACCUUGCAGACUCAGACAGUGGCUCAGGAGUAGGGAUCUCUGCUAAUUGUCUGCUAAUUGUCUGUCUCUAAUGCCUGGCUACCAGCUGGCAGAGGCAAUGGCAUUUGCACUGUCACUUUUGCAGAGGAGCUUUACAAAUGCCAUCCGUUGUCCUCCACCUUCUUGCUUUGGUGGGAUCCUCAGGAACCUGGUGGGUGAUAACCAAUUGUAAAGCCGUUACUUUACAGCAGACAUAAUCUUUCUUCUUGGGUCUCAUAUAAGAAGAACAUUUCUAAAAAAUCCCCAAGAAAAGUUCUACCUGGACACCAAAGGUUUCUGUAUUUGAACAGAAACAGAAAAGAAAUGAAGUUUUUUGCUCUCCCUCCCCUCAUUGGUGAUGUCGAAUAUUUAAUCACAGCUUCACAAGGACAUGAAUUUCUCUUUGAAUUCCUCCCUGGGCUACAGUGGCAAAUCCUGGCUCAGGAACAGACUUCGGGCAUGUCUCUUGAUUUGGACUCUUGCUUUAUCUGGUCUUUGCAGCUCUUACUAACUUCCAGAAGGGUCUUCAGGUACACAAAAUAAAAACUGUGGAUGUGUGUGU